UCCUACGGGUGGCUGCAGUGGGGAAUAUUGGACAAUGGGCGCAAGCCUGAUCCAGCCAUGCCGCGUGAGUGAUGAAGGCCCUAGGGUUGUAAAGCUCUUUUGUGCGGGAAGAUAAUGACGGUACCGCAAGAAUAAGCCCCGGCUAACUUCGUGCCAGCAGCCGCGGUAAUACGAAGGGGGCUAGCGUUGCUCGGAAUCACUGGGCGUAAAGGGUGCGUAGGCGGGUCUUUAAGUCAGGGGUGAAAUCCUGGAGCUCAACUCCAGAACUGCCUUUGAUACUGAGAAGCUUGAGUCCGGGAGAGGUGAGUGGAACUGCGAGUGUAGAGGUGAAAUUCGUAGAUAUUCGCAAGAACACCAGUGGCGAAGGCGGCUCACUGGCCCGAUACUGACGCUGAGGCACGAAAGCGUG
rnacentral:rRNA from 1 species